UACGUAGGGGGCAAGCGUUGUCCGGAAUCAUUGGGCGUAAAGAGCGUGUAGGCGGCUUGGUAAGUCCGCUGUGAAAGUCCAGGGCUCAACCCUGGAAUGCCGGUGGAAACUGUCAAGCUUGAGUCCGGAAGAGGCGAGUGGAAUUCCUGGUGUAGCGGUGAAAUGCGCAGAUAUCAGGAGGAACAUCAAUGGCGAAGGCAGCUCGCUGGGACGGUACUGACGCUGAGACGCGAAAGCGUGGGGAGCAAACAGG
rnacentral:rRNA from 1 species